rnacentral:rRNA from 1 species
UACGUAGGGGGCGAGCGUUGUCCGGAAUCAUUGGGCGUAAAGCGCGUGUAGGCGGCCCGGUAAGUCCGCUGUGAAAGUCCAGGGCUCAACCCUGGGAUGCCGGUGGAUACUGUCGGGCUCGAGUCCGGAAGAGGCGAGUGGAAUUCCUGGUGUAGCGGUGAAAUGCGCAGAAAUCAGGAGGAACACCAAUGGCGAAGGCAGCUCGCUGGGACGUGACUGACGCUGAGACGCGAAAGCGUGGGGAGCAAACAGG